rnacentral:rRNA from 1 species
GACGAACGCUGGCGGCGUGCUUAACACAUGCAAGUCGAACGGAAAGGCCCUGCUUUUGUGGGGUGCUCGAGUGGCGAACGGGUGAGUAACACGUGAGUAACCUGCCCUUGACUUUGGGAUAACUUCAGGAAACUGGGGCUAAUCCCGGAUAGGAGCUCCUGCUGCAUGGUGGGGGUUGGAAAGUUUCGGCUGUUGGGGAUGGACUCGCGGCUUAUCAGCUUGUUGGUGGGGUAGUGGCUUACCCAGGCUGUGACGGGUAGCCGUCCUGAGAGGGUGACCGGCCACAUUGGGACUAAGAUACGGCCCAGACUCCUACGGGAGGCAGCAGUGGGGAAUAUUGCACAAUGGGCGGAAGCCUGAUGCAGCAACGCCGCGUGCGGGAUGACGGCCUUCGGGUUGUAAACCGCUUUCGCCUGUGACGAAGCGUGAGUGACGGUAAUGGGUAAAGAAGCACCGGCUAACUACGUG